rnacentral:misc_RNA from 1 species
GAUGAAGAACGUAGCGAAAUGCGAUAAGUAAUGUGAAUUGCAGAAUUCAGUGAAUCAUCGAAUCUUUGAACGCACAUUGCGCCCGCCAGUAUUCUGGCGGGCAUGUCUGUUCGAGCGUCAUUUCAACCAUCAAGCCCCCGGCUUGUGUUGGGGACCUGCGGCUGCCGCAGGCCCUGAAAACCAGUGGCGGGCUCGCUAGUCACUCCGAGCGUAGUAAUACAUCUCGCUCAGGGCGUGCUGCGGGUUCCGGCCGUUAAAAAGCCUUAUUUACCCAAGGUUGACCUCGGAUCAGGUAGGAAGACACGCUGAACUUAAGCAUAUCAAUAAGCGGAGGA